AAGGAGCAGAUCGAGAAGGAGAAGACGCAGGGUGUUGACAUCGCGGCGUACGGGUCCUCCAAGGUGGUGUCGACGCAGGCGCCCGUGCAGCUGGGCUCCCUCCGCGCCGCCGACGGCAAGGAGGGCCUCUGAGGCCAUGGACUGUGACUGAUGGCUUUGCUUGGUUCAGCACUGCAUACACACGGAAUUGUUGGAAGAUAGAGUUUUGGCAGCAACCAUACCGUUUUGCCCCUUCUGAGAUUGGAGACGAUCUUGUUCUAGCAUUCAGCGCCCCAUUAUAAAUUUUGGUGCCAUCUUGUUAAUUGCAUGUAUGUGUUCACUUUCAGUCUUUCACC
rnacentral:lncRNA from 1 species